rnacentral:rRNA from 1 species
AUUGAACGCUGGCGGCAUGCCUUACACAUGCAAGUCGAACGGCAGCGCGGGAUCAAUCCUGGCGGCGAGUGGCGAACGGGUGAGUAAUACAUCGGAACGUGCCCAAUCGUGGGGGAUAACGCAGCGAAAGCUGUGCUAAUCCCGCAUCCGAUCUACGGAUGAACGCCGGGGAUCGCAAGACCUUGCGCGAAUGGAGCGGCCGAUGUCAGAUUAGGUAGUUGGUGAGGUAAAGGCUCACCAAGCCUUCGAUCUGUAGCUGGUCUGAGAGGACGACCAGCCACACUGGGACUGAGACACGGCCCAGACUCCUACGGGAGGCAGCAGUGGGGAAUUUUGGACAAUGGGCGAAAGCCUGAUCCAGCCAUGCCGCGUGCAGGAUGAAGGCCUUCGGGUUGUAAACUGCUUUUGUACGGAACGAAACGGUCUUUUCUAAUAAAGAAGGCUAAUGACGGUACCGUAAGAAUAAGCACCGGCUAACUACGUG